rnacentral:rRNA from 1 species
CAUGCAAGUCGAGCGAGAAGCUAGCUUCGGUUAGUGGAAAGCGGCGCACGGGUGAGUAACGCGUGGGAAUUUACCUUUUGGUGGGGGACAACAGUUGGAAACGACUGCUAAUACCGCAUAUACCCUACGGGGGAAAGAUUUAUCGCCAAAAGAUGGGCCCGCGUUAGAUUAGGUAGUUGGUAGGGUCAAAGCCUACCAAGCCUACGAUCUAUAGCUGGUUUGAGAGAACGAUCAGCCACACUGGAACUGAGACACGGUCCAGACUCCUACGGGAGGCAGCAGUGGGGAAUCUUGCACAAUGGGCGAAAGCCUGAUGCAGCCAUGCCGCGUGAGUGAGAAGGCCUUCGGGUUGUAAAACUCUUUUAGAUGUGAAGAUGAUGACGGUAACAUCAGAAAAAGCCCCGGCUAACUUCGUGCCAGCAGCCGCGGUAAUACGAAGGGGGCUAGCGUUGUUCGGAAUUACUGGGCGUAAAGAGCGUGUAGGCGGCUAGAUAAGUUAGGGGUGAAAUCCCGGAGCUCAACUUCGGAAUUGCCUUUGAUACUGUCUAGCUUGAGAUUGCGAGGGGAUAGCGGAAUACCCAGUGUAGAGGUGAAAUUCGU